GGGCUGCAUUGGCAGUACAUAUUCUAAAAUUGGAAUGAUAUGGAGAAGAUUAGCAUGGCCCCUGUGCAAGGAUGACAUGCACAUUUGUGAAGCAUUCCAUAUUUAA
rnacentral:snRNA from 1 species